rnacentral:rRNA from 1 species
UGAGACACGGUCCAAACUCCUACGGGAGGCAGCAGUGAGGAAUAUUGGUCAAUGGACGAGAGUCUGAACCAGCCAAGUAGCGUGAAGGAUGAAGGUCCUACGGAUUGUAAACUUCUUUUAUAAGGGAAUAAACCCUCCCACGUGUGGGAGCUUGUAUGUACCUUAUGAAUAAGCAUCGGCUAACUCCGUGCCAGCAGCCGCGGUAAUACGGAGGAUGCGAGCGUUAUCCGGAUUUAUUGGGUUUAAAGGGAGCGCAGACGGGUCGUUAAGUCAGCUGUGAAAGUUUGGGGCUCAACCUUAAAAUUGCAGUUGAUACUGGCGUCCUUGAGUGCGGUUGAGGUGUGCGGAAUUCGUGGUGUAGCGGUGAAAUGCUUAGAUAUCACGAAGAACUCCGAUUGCGAAGGCAGCACACUAAUCCGUAACUGACGUUCAUGCUCGAAAGUGUGGGUAUCAAACAGGAUUAGAUACCCUGGUAGUCCACACGGUAAACGAUGGAUACUCGCUGUUGGCGAUAUACUGUCAGCGGCUUAGCGAAAGCGUUAAGUAUCCCACCUGGGGAGUACGCCGGCAACGGUGCAACUCAAAUGAAUUGACGG